UACGGGGGGGCAAGCGUUGUUCGGAAUUACUGGGCGUAAAGCGUGCGCAGGCGGUCUUUUAAGUCAGAUGUGAAAUCCCCGGGCUUAACCUGGGAACUGCGUUUGAAACUGGAAGGCUAGAGUGUGGCAGAGGGGGGUGGAAUUCCACGUGUAGCAGUGAAAUGCGUAGAUAUCCGGAGGAACACCGGUGGCGAAGGCGGCUUCCUGGACCGACACUGACGCUGAGGCGCGAAAGCUAGGGGAGCAAACGGG
rnacentral:rRNA from 1 species